GUUUAUAACACAAAAUAAUAAAAUAAAAAGGAAAUGAAAGGAGUGCGUGUACAUAGAUAGUUUUAUAUAUAUUUUCAUAGUAUAUCUGAAUAUUAUUGUGAGUGUAAGUGCAAUAACAAAUCCUAAUAAUAGUUGAUGCAUAUGCGAAAAAUAAACGCAAACGUAACUGAUUGCAGUUAGUGCGACUUAAAAUCAAUCGAUGCGGUCAAUUAAUUAAUUAAUUAACGAUUUUCAGAUAAUCUGACGAGAAAGUGUACAAUAAAUGAAAUCGUAAUAUUUCUGUUGGUCUGUGUUCAAUUUGGCAACUUAAGCUAUUUAUAGAUCAUUUGGCAGAUUCUUGCGUCUACAACGGGACAGCAUUGUUCAGUGAAAACAAAGCUGAUGUCACUUAUAAAAGAAAACCCACGAUUGCAGAAAAAAUUGAUGGGAAUAUGAAUAUUGGAAUAAAAUGCGAGGAAUCAAUAGCGAACGAUUGAUUGGCGGUGCGAAGAGACGCCGCGCACAAAAAACAAAUGUAAAUAAAAGCACGUUUGGAAAAUGUAUAAAUUUGAAUGCAUAACACGCGGCACUAAGCUCAAAUACACAACAACAGCAGCAAUACAUGGGGAAAGUGUCCAGUUCAAUUUGUACGCGGUGAGCAGAAUAAAAUAUGAUAUAAAAUUGAACGUUCUACAGGUCACGAUCAACAUUAUCAAUGCAUAUUCUCGGUAAUAUGUAUCACAGUCUCUAAAAGUGUGUGGGACUUUUUAACUAACAAAAAACAGGGUUUUAAUUACAAGUUGCGUGCUACAGUUGCUUAUUCACUGCAUUUGCCAAUCUCCCCAGAAC